UACGUAGGGUGCGAGCGUUAAUCGGAAUUACUGGGCGUAAAGGGCGCGCAGGCGGCGCAUUUUGUCAGGCGUGAAAGCCCCGGGCUUAACCUGGGAACCGCGUUUGAUACGGAUGGGCUAGAGUUCGGGAGAGGAGAGUGGAAUUCCCAGUGUAGAGGUGAAAUUCGUAGAUAUUGGGAGGAACACCGAUGGCGAAGGCAGGUCUCUGGGCAUUAACUGACGCUGAGGAGCGAAAGCAUGGGGAGCGAACAGG
rnacentral:rRNA from 1 species